ACUUAUUGGUUUUUUGGAUGAUGUUGAAUUUUUGACGGGACUUUUUAAACACAAAGAAGGGAGAGUAGUCUUUAACAAAAGGGCUUCAGAAGAGAAAAAUAAGAUAGUUAAAUGAAGAGGAACUUUAUUUUGAAACCCAACAUCUAGUAGAAACUAAUAUCCUCAAUGAAGUAUUCAUUCAUUUAU